GUCUACGGCCAUACCAUCCUGAACACGCCCGAUCUCGUCUGAUCUCGGAAACUAAGCAUGGUCGGGCCUGGUUAGUACUUGGAUGGGAGUAAAAGGCACCCCUUGCUCAAGACA
rnacentral:rRNA from 1 species